rnacentral:tRNA from 1 species
GCCUGGGUGGCUGAAUCGGUUAAGCGUCCAACUUCGGCUCGGGUCAUGACCUCACAGUUCGUGGGUUCAAGCCCCGUGUCAGGCU